UUUUGGGACGGGUCAGUAACGCGUGAGAACCUACCUUCAGAAUGGGGACAACAGUUGGAAACGACUGCUAAUACCCAAUGUGCCGAAAGGUGAAAGAUUUAUCGUCUGAAGAUGGGCUCGCGUCUGAUUAGCUAGAUGGUGGGGUAAGAGCCUACCAUGGCAACGAUCAGUAGCUGGUCUGAGAGGAUGAGCAGCCACACUGGGACUGAGACACGGCCCAGACUCCUACGGGAGGCAGCAGUGGGGAAUUUUCCGCAAUGGGCGAAAGCCUGACGGAGCAAUACCGCGUGAGGGAGGAAGGUCCUUGGAUUGUAAACCUCUUUUAUCAGGGAAGAAGUUCUGACGGUACCUGAUGAAUAAGCAUCGGCUAACUCCGUGCCAGCAGCCGCGGUAAUACGGAGGAUCCAAGCGUUAUCCGGAAUUAUUGGGCGUAAAGCGUCCGUAGGUGGUUUUGCAAGUCUGCUGUUAAAGAAUGGAGCUUAACUCCAUAGGAGCGGUGGAAACUGCAAGACUAGAGUACAGUAGGGGUAGCAGGAAUUCCCAGUGUAGCGGUGAAAUGCGUAGAUAUUGGGAAGAACAUCGGUGGCGAAAGCGUGCUACUGGGCUGAAACUGACACUAACGAAUACAUCCUUGU
rnacentral:rRNA from 1 species